rnacentral:lncRNA from 1 species
CACCAACCUUCUCUGCAAGUCACUUCCACUUGUCUUGGCCCUGGGACCACCCUCCUGAAAAGUUAGGUUCUGCCUGGUGAAAGUUGCUUUCUCCAAAGUCCAGAAGCAUGCACAAAGAAGGCUCUUGUGUGUAACAUCCUCAUAUGCUUCCCUGUGGCCUUGACCAAUCUCCAAGGAACAGAGGCUUAUGAUCUCCCAAGGCCAGCAAAGUAGUAGGGGUAAGUCUUCUAUCUGUGGUAUCCUUGCUUGUAACAAUGCUGUCUGUGGGAGUGUGAUGCUUUCCACAGACAGCAAAGAAUUUGGACCCUCUACAACUCUAGGAGGAGGGGGACUGUCAUAGCCCAAUUACAGGUGAGGACAUAGGAGCUGUGAUAUCCUAACUAUGGAGUGGUCUCCUCUUUGAUCCCCUGGCAACCUGUGCAGAGCCAAACCACUGUUUUCUGUUACUGGCCACUAUGGAGGUAUUCCAGGCUGCCUCCUCUUCUUUCUUGAUACUCUAUAGAGUAGCUUCCCAUUGCUGGAGCCUGGAAACCUAACAUCAAGAAUUGCCUGUUGUCCUGGCAACCAAGGCUUGCCUGAGACCUAUGAUGUGACCCAACCCCGAGUUCUCAUUCAGCAACGCACUGCUAACCAAUGUCACUUUACCAGCCUUUGUAGAUUUCAGGUCUACACUCAACCUAGCCCUGCACCUGGCAGUUGUGUAAGGUGAGACAGCCUCAGAGUUGAGACCAAAAGGGAAGUCAACUUGGAAAAUGUGUGUCUGUGGCUCUGAGAAUGAACGAUGUCAGGGGAGUGACUCUUGUCACUCACAGAUGGGGAGAAUUUGUUCCUAGAGGAGCUGAUUUCUGAAGUAAGUUGAUGAAUCAAAUCAGGGUCCCUACAUUGGUCCUCUCAGGUGGUCAUCACUGUCUGUCAAAGAGGAGGAAGCUGAGGUCCCCAGUGGUCCCACUGCAGACCUUAGAUCUGAGGUUCUCCUGUAGGGAUCCUGCUGGCCCAGAAGAACUAGACAUCAGACUUUAAAAGUAGAUUAUGGCCUUCAUCUUCCUCAUCUCAGGCCACUGGACAUGUAUCCUAUUCUGGUCCCAGGCCCUCAAUCUGGCACGCAGAAACAGAACUUUGGUGAUGUUGUGAGAAUGCUGGGCUGCACCCUGCAGCUGAAGUGCCCCCCUUGCUCAAGAUCAUCAAUCUCACCUCAUAGGUUUUCACCAUCCUUGAGGGCACCACGAAGAUGGGCUGGAUGUUGUUUUCAGCCAGUUUGCUUGCCAGCUGGACCACUGACUGGUAGUCCUGUGGAGAAGAGACAUUUUGUCAGGAUGCCCAUCCAAAGAAAGUGCCUAGCGUUCUGAGGACUCUGGUGUCAGCUCAAGUCAGGGCUGUCCUUGUCCCGUGGCAGUACUUUCUCUGAACAAGAUGUUUAAGUAUGUGAAACAGAAUUAAUCAGAAAUGGAUGAUAUUGAAAGACAGUUAAAAAACACCAGAAACUG